rnacentral:rRNA from 1 species
AUUGAACGCUGGCGGCAGGCCUAACACAUGCAAGUCGAACGAGUGGCGGACGGGUGAGUAAUGUCUGGGAACCUGCCUGAUGGAGGGGGAUAACUACUGGAAACGGUAGCUAAUCCCGCAUACCAUCAGAUGUGCCCAGAUUGGAUUAGCGAGUUGGUGUGGGAACGGCUCACCAAGGCGACGAUCCCUAGCUGGUCUGAGAGGAUGACCGGCCACACUGGAACUGAGACACGGUCCAGACUCCUACGGGAGGCAGCAGUGGGGAAUAUUGCACAAUGGGCGCAAGCCUGAUGCAGCCAGGCCGCGUGUAUGAAGAAGGCCUUCGGGUUGGAAAGUACUUUCAGCGGGGAGGCGGUACCCGCAGAAGAAGCACCGGCUAACUCCGUGCCAGCAGCCGCGGUAAUAC